UGAAGAAGUAUUUCGGUAUGUAAAGCUCUAUCAGCAGGGAAGAAAGACUCGUAAGAGAGAUGACGGUACCCGACUAAGAAGCCCCGGCUAACUACGUGCCAGCAGCCGCGGUAAUACGUAGGGGGCAAGCGUUAUCCGGAUUUACUGGGUGUAAAGGGGGCGCAGACGGUCAAGCAAGUCUGAAGUGAAACCCCACGGCUCAACCGUGGGCUUGCUUUGGAAACUGUUUGACUAGAGUACUGGAGAGGUAAGCGGAAUUCCUAGUGUAGCGGUGAAAUGCGUAGAUAUUAGGAGGAACAUCGGUGGCGAAGGCGGCUUACUGGACAGCAACUGACGUUGAGGCUCGAAGGCGUGGGGAGCAAACAGGAUUAGAUACCCUGGUAGUCCACGCGGUAAACGAUGAAUACUAGGUGUUGG
rnacentral:rRNA from 1 species